rnacentral:rRNA from 1 species
GAAAGUAAGCAAGGGCAGACGGUGGAUGCCUUGGCUCUCGGAGGCGAUGAAGGACGUGAUAAGCUGCGAUAAGCUUGGGGUAGGUGCAAAUAACCUUUGAUCCCAAGAUUUCCGAAUGGGGCAACCCGGCUGGUAGAAGGCCAGUCAUUCCGUAAGGAAGGCGAACGUGGGGAACUGAAACAUCUAAGUACCCAUAGGAGAAGAAAACAAAAGUGAUUCCGCAAGUAGUGGCGAGCGAACGCGGAACAGCCCAAACCGAUGAUGUUUAGGCAUUGUCGGGGUAGUAGGACCACGUUGUGGCAAGAGAUUAAUGAAGUAGAACGUUUUGGAACAAACGGCCGUAGACGGUGAAAGCCCAGUAUACGACUCUUUAACGAAGCCUAGUGGAAUCCUGAGUAGCGCGGAGCACGAGAAAUUCUGUGUGAAUCAGCGGGGCCCAUCCCGUAAGGCUAAAUACUCCCGAGAGACCGAUAGCGAACCAGUACUGUGAAGGAAAGGUGAAAAGCACCUCGAACAGAGGAGUGAAAUAGUCCCUGAAACCGUCUGCCUACAAGCGGUCGGAGCAACGUAAGUUGUGACGGCGUGCCUUUUGCAUAAUGAACCUACGAGUUACUUUCUCCGGCAAGGUUAAGGGCUUCAGGCCCGGAGCCGAAGCGAAAGCGAGUCUUAAUAGGGCGUGAUAGUCGGAGUGAGUAGACGCGAAACCAAGUGAUCUACCCUUGGUCAGGAUGAAGGUUGGGUAACACCAACUGGAGGUCCGAAUGGGUAUACGUUGAAAAGUGUUCCAAUGAACUGAGGGUAGGGGUGAAAGGCUAAUCAAACUUGGAGAUAGCUCGUACUCCCCGAAAUGCAUUUAGGUGCAGCCUUUAUUUAGUAUAGCAUGAGGUAGAGCGACUGAUUGGAUGCGAGGGCUUCACCGCCUAUCAAGUCCAGAUAAACUCCGAAUGCGUGCUAUAUAUUGAUAAGGAGUGAGGGCGCGGGUGCUAAGGUCCGCGUCCGAGAGGAGAAGAAUCCAGACCAUCAGCUAAGGUCCCCAAAUAACAGUUAAGUUGAACUAACGAAGUCGGACUGCAGAGACAGCUAGGAUGUUGGCUUGGAAGCAGCCAUUCAUUUAAAGAGUGCGUAACAGCUCACUAGUCGAGGAGUCCGGCGUGGAUAAUACUCGGGCAUAAACUGUUUACCGAAGCUAUGGAUGUAGAAAUACAUGGUAGGGGAGCAUUCCAACGGCGUCGAAGGUGAAGGAUGACCUUUGCUGGAGCUUUUGGAAACGCAAAUGUAGGUAUAAGUAACGAUAAAGGAGGUGAGAAACCUCCUCGCCGAAAGACUAAGGUUUCCUGAUCAACGUUAAUCGGAUCAGGGUAAGUCGGGACCUAAGGUUAAGCCGAACGGCGAUACCGAUGGAAGAAUGGUUUAAUAUUCCCAUACUACUUUAUGGAGCGAUGUGGAGACGGAGAAGUGAAAGUCCUGCCAUCUGACGGAAUAGGUGGUUGAAGAGUGUAGAUGUAGAUUCCUGUAGGCAAAUCCGCAGGGAGAGUCGACCUUGACAGUAUGCCGCGUGCUUGCACAAGGCAAAAUGGACGUAAUCAGGCUCCCAAGAAAAUCCGCUAAGCAUAUUCAUAAAGUACCCGUACCGUAAACGGACACACGUAGUUGGGUUGAAAAUACUGAGGCGCUCGAGUGAUUCACGGUUAAGGAACUAGGCAAAUUGACCCUGUAACUUCGGGAUAAAGGGUCCCUACUGAGAGGUAGGGCGCAGAGAAUAGGUCCAGGCAACUGUUUAACAAAAACACAUGGCUGUGCGAAAUAGAAAUAUGAAGUAUACAGCCUGACACCUGCCCGGUGCUGGAAGGUUAAGAGGAGAGCUCAUCGCAAGAGAAGGCUUGAAUUGAAGCCCCAGUAAACGGCGGCCGUAACUAUAACGGUCCUAAGGUAGCGAAAUUCCUUGUCGGGU